GUUUCUCUGUGUAGCCCUGGCUGUCCUGGAACUCACUUUGUAGACCAGGCUGGCCUUGAACUCAGAAAUCCGCCUGCUCAGGACCAUUUCUAAGAGGCUAAGAACUACAUUGUCAGGUUUACGAAGCAGUGGCCCUAUUUCUUGACACCAGUCAUCUGUAUUGGUAGCAUCUCAUUUCUGUGACAGGAUAUCUGAUGAAAGCAAUGUAAGGACGAAAGGGGUUUGGUUUGGUGUUCUGGCUCGCAGUUCAAGAGGAUCCAAGGCCAUCACAGCAGGGGAUGUGGCUCCCUGACAGUAGAGCAUUCAGCUAGGACCCCAUGUUUGGGCAGUAGAGGAAGCAGAGCUUUACUAUAAACCUCUCUUCCACCCUCACCCUGAGUCCUGUUUUCUAGGUAGGCCCCUUCUCCCAAAGAUUCCAGAACAGUGCCACCAGCCACAGACCAUGCAAGGAGACACGUGCAUGAUGAGGACUUUUGACAUCUUACACAUGGCAUCUGAACAUUAGGGGCUCUGUUCUUUGGGGAAUGGAGACCAGUUUGGCUGAAGCAAGUUUGUGCAGUAGAAUAAUUUACUUGGAAAAGUGGUUUGGCAGAACAUUGUGGAGGUGGGGGUGGGGAGUUUGAAACUAAAGCUGGCAGAAGGAAUGGUGGCAGCUUCUAAAAGCAGAAGAACAGCAUGGAGCUGAAGAACGUUAUAGAGAGGUUUUGUUGUGAUGGAACAAAACUGCAGUGCAAUUAGAUAGCUAUCAUAUUCAAAGCAGCUUACCUGCUUCAACACUUGUCCUCGGAAGCUCUUUACAAAUAGAAAUUGCUAGGACCGAGUUCCCCAGUAUUCAGAUGGCAAAUGCUGUGUGUCUUGGGGAGCCAGUUAAACUUUAAAUAACUUAGAGGCAACUCAGAGGGAAAUAGGAAAAUAAUGCCAGAGAUGAAAAUUUUGAUGUUUUUAUUGAUACCUGUGGGGUUUUUUUUUAAGCUAAGCCAUACCCAGUACCCACCCCCUUUCUCGUUGUUGUUUAAUUUUUUUGAUUGUUUUUCAAGAAACUCUGUGUAAUUCAGAGAUCUGCCUGCAUCUGCCUUCCGAGUGUCGGGAUUAAACAGCGUGUGUCCUGGGCCAUGCCUGACCUACUUUUCCUUCGUACUCUGUAAAAGUGGUUUCUGCCAGCAGACCAGUGUGCCUUGUCCUUCGUAGAAACUACUUGGCACUGCUUGGGAAGGCCAUGAUUAUUGUCGCUCUUCUGAGGAUGUUAACUAUUGCAGCUGUGUAUCAGCUCUGUGUUCCCCCAUGCCUCUUGUGCUGGUCCUAUACAGGAGCAUGAGGAGAGUCCUUGAAGGAAUUAUAUGUGUCCAAAUUGCUUUAGAAAAAGCCUAGCACAGCCAGGCAGUGGUAGCGCACGCCGUUAAUCCCAGCACUUGGGAGGCAGAGACAGGUGGAUUUCUGAGUUCAAGGCCAGCCUGGUCUACAGAGUGAGUUCCACGACAGCCAGGGCUACACAGAGAAACCCUGUUUAUAAAUAAAUAAAUAAAUAAAUAAAUAAAUAAAUAAAUAAAUGCCUAGCACUGUUUGUGUUUUGCUAAUUCUGUGGUGCAGAUACUUGUUUGUUCAUUCAUUUAUCAUUAAAAUGGAACAGCAUUGUUCAGGGUUGUCACUUCUUUAAAAAUUAUUUUUCUGUGAUACAUUUAUUUCCUGUUUGUGACUUUCCCCAAGUCUUUUAUUUUUUUUAAAUCACUGAGGUUUUUUUGAGGAUGUGUUUUGAAUUUAGUCAGUCAUACCUUGUGUCUUACUUUUCUGUGAAGAGAUACCAUGACUGACUAAGGCAUCUUACAGAAGAACAAGUUUCAGGGGGUGAGUCCAUGGUCAUUGUGUCAGGAAGCGUGGCAGCAAGCAGGCAGGGAUGGUGCUGGAAGCAGAAGCUGAGAGAGCUUACAUCUAGUCCACGAGGAGAGACCUGAGAGGGAUGUAGGCUCAUGAACCUCAAGGCCUGUUGCCAGUGACGUCAUACCACCAACAAGGCCACCCCUCCCUCCUAGUCCUUCUCAGGCAGUUGUACCAACUGGGACCAAACAUUGAAACCUAUGAGCCUAUGGGGGCCUGCUAAUCCAGACCACCAUGCCUUGUGGUUCUCCAUUUCCUCUUUUAUUUAAAGGACAGUAUGGUUUGAGUUUAUAUAGAUGCUGUGUUAGCGUAUCGUCUUCCUGAGAGUCUUUACAUACUAAGUUUUCUUCUGGCAUAGAACUUUUUUUUCCCUUCUGUUACAUGCUAUAGAAAUGUUACUUUUUAAUUUGCUUGAGAUGUUGGAGAUCAAACACAGUCUGCAUGCUAAAUUAAGUGAGUGGUCUACCACUGAACCACAUUCCCAAUCAACCACCCCUAUUUUUUACUCUAUCUUGAGAAAAACAAACAAACAAACAAGUACUACAUUGUCUAGAUUGGCCCUGAAUUAACUGUUUUCUCAGCAGUCUUGAGUUUGAGAUCUCCCUGCUUUAGUCACCCUCUGGUCUCUCAGUGUGACUCGGCAACACCCAGCCCAGCUUAGAGUCCUGUCGCUGUGAACUCCUCUAAUGUGCCUGCCUCUUUCAUUUGGCUUCUGUGUUUCAUGUUUAUUAUAAGAUAUUGAAAAUAUUUUCCUAUUUUCUUCUAAUACUUCAGUUCUUUACGUUACUUAAUCCCCGGACUAUCUGCACAUUGCAUGCCACUGACACAGAUCUGGGAACGGAGUCUCCCUACGCCUCAAUCUCUUUCUGAACUUAAUCUCUUUGUGCCUAUGUCACCGUUACCAGCCCUACAUCUAUGUGGUGUUUUUCUAUACUUAUUACAAGAAGUGUUUUAGUCUUGAUUUUUAAAAUACCCGGGUGAUUCUUAGCUAGUCUUGGCCUUUUCUCAGACAACUCAGCUUGCUAACUUCCAUUUUGAAGAUCCUGGUAGUAUCUUUAGGAAAGGCCCCCCAAAUAUAAACUACUUUGCAAAAGAUGAAAAAAAAUUGUUUUGGUUUUUUGUUCUGCUUUUGCUGUCUUGUUUUGUUUUGGAGACAGGAGUUCUCUGGGUAAACUUAGCCGGCCUUGAACUCAUUUUAUGGUCCAAGCUGGCCUUAAAUUCAGAGAUCUGCCAUCCUCUGCUGCCUCCCCGAGUGCUGGGAUUAAAGGCAUGCUCUGCCUUCACCUUGUUAAGACUGAAAAUGGUUAUGCUAGCCUCUGAGUGGGGCAGUCGUUUCUCCAACUGCCCUUCAUUACACAAGCUUCUCUGAGGAGGUCUGAGAGUUGUGCUAAUCUGUGCUGUGCCUGAUCAUUUGGCUAAGAUCCCUUGGUUGAGCUCACUAGCCCCAGGGAUGAACCUACUACUAUUCUAAAAAUGUUCUGUCCUUAUUUUAGUAUUGGUGUAUUCCAGGAUUGAGUAGUCUUGAAUGAACAGGGAGAUCUGUCUGUGGUUUUCUGUGAAAUUGUAUCAUGUAGGGUUCCUUCUUUAAGAUUGCACAUCAUGAUUUUUUUUUUCCAUCAAGGAAUAUUUUACAAAACCAAGAAUAGUAUAAUAAACACUUGUAGUCUUAUGCCCCGAUUUAAAAGCUGUGAGCCUUUUGCUCUCUGUUUUAGUUUGCACAAACUCUGCCUCUCUGUGUCUCCCUGCCCAUAGCCAUUCUGCAUCCUCUUGUUGUUUGAACUCAGAUAUUGCGUGUCGUCCGCAAGCCUAUUCCUAGCUCCAUUUUACAUGUUUCAGAAUAUUUAGCACAAUUUAUUUUAAAUUGUCAGAGAUAGUACCUGUUUUUAAAUUUGUAUUUUUAACUUUUGAAAUUUUGCUGUCAAAGCCUGUGUCAUAAACUCAGAGAUGACAUUGUGGUCAUUGUGCUGGUGAUCCUGUCCACGUAUAGGUAAGAGGUGAUAGUUCUUAAAGCAUUUGUCCUGAAGGAAAAGAUAGAAAUGCACGUGCCGCUACUUUUCUCCUUGCUGUGACAGAAUACUUGACAAAAGGCGACUGAAGGGGUGGGAGGGGUUUGUGGUUCUGCAUCUCACCUCGAUGCUGUGGUUUGUGAACUCUGCUUGGGCAGAUGAAAGGGGAGGUAGCUGAAGAUGGGGACCCCAGCCCGGGUAAGGCAGGCUGAGGCUGAAGAGGUGGGGGCUGAUUCCCAAACUCCUGGGGUUGUCUAGUCAUCACUGGGAACCUCGUAGAGUCAGGAAUGAAGCAGGGCCAUGUGGGCCUGCAAUGGGAGUGGAGCAGGGGGAAGACUCCUGCUUAGCCUAGGAUGGCUUAGCUCAGGGGUGAGUGUCCAGGAGCAUGGAGGGGCCUUCUGUGGGAGACUUUAGCAGCUCUAUAUAAUGAAGGCUUCCCCCCAUGGUGGUUCUUGCUUGUUCAAACAUUUUGUUCAUUGUUCAUCAUGGGAAAUGGGUGCAUACAACUUACUCGGGGUGGACCAGAGAUUACAUACCUUUUGCAGGAAGGAAUGUCUUGGAUGGAAAGCUUAAAGUUAAACCCUCCAGUCAGCCCAUCUAGAUACCUCAUUGGUUUGGAGGACUCAGUGGUCAUUAUGAUCCUCAAGUGGGAUGUCCUGGUCACAUGCUCCAGGACAGGACCCAGGUUGAGUGCAGAUGGAACACCUACUGGUCUUAGAUAUGAGAAUACCGGGGGUUUCUGAACCCGUUCCACUUGCCCCACAGGGGUUCUUUUGCAGUAGGCAGGAAGGUCAGUAGCUCUAGCUUGUCAGCAGAAGUGAAAGGUCACAUUGCAUCCACAGUAGGGCUUGGAGAUGAUUGCUUUCUCUCCCUUUCAUUCAGUGUCUGACUCUAGCCACACCCAGAGUUGAGCCUCUUAACCUUCCUGGAAAUGCCUUCCCCAACGUGCCUAGAAGUCUCUGAGGUGACUCCCUGACUUUUUAACAGACAACUGAGAGUAUCCGUGCCAAAGGCCUAAUACCUAAACUAUGCUGCUGUGUUCCGGUGGCCACCCUUGGUGUUUUCAGACCCCAGACACUUGCACAUGACCCAGGCUAUAGUUGCUCUUACCUGUUGAUUUUAUUUCCGGUUAUAUAGUCUCUUGAAACUGAGUCUGUGGUGGUUUGGAUAAGAAUGGCCCUCGAGCGGGGCUCGGGUGGCGCACGCCUUUAUUUCUGAGUUCCAGGCCAACCUGGUCUACAAAGUAAGUUCCAGGACAGCCAGGGCUAUACAGAGAAACCCUGUUUCGAAAAACCAAAAAAAAAAAAAAAAGAAAGGCUCAUAGACUCACAUGUAUGAAUGCUUGCCCCGUAGGGAGCGCACUGUUAGGAGGUAUGUCCUGGUUGGAGUGGUCAUGGCUUUGUUGGAGGAAAUAUGUUGCUAUGGGGGCGGGCUUUGAGGUCUCCUAUGCUCACAGAUCCAGAUGCAGAACUCUCAUCUCCAUCUCCAGCACCAUGUCUGCCUGCACGCUGCCGCGUUUCCCUUUGUAAGAGUGAAUAGUCACCGUAACCUGACAUCUGUGUCCCUCCUACCUUAACUGCUCCCCCACUCCCCAAAAAGAUACAGAAUAAGAAAAAGUCAAGAGAGGACAAUAAAUAAAGGACAGUGUCAGGGCAGAGUUUAUCCUAGGUGUUUAUUCUCAGAAAAUUAGAGGACUUGGGUUCUGGAAAAGAACUUGCAGAAAUGAUUGUGAGAUAAAGACCUGCUCAGUCUCAAACAGAGCUCAGAGCAUGGCAAGGAUCAAAAUAAGACCUGCAGUGUUAAUUUCUGUGCCUACAAAACAACACCUUCUUGUAGCUUCUGUGGGCACCCACAUGCAUGUGGCGUCUAUACCCAUACACAAGAAAUACCCCCCCCCCCAAGCCAGGGUUUUCUGGUAUAGCCCUAGCUAUCCUAGAAAUAACUCUGUAGACCAGGCUGACCUUGAACCUAGAGAUCCUCCUGCCUCUGCCUCCCCAAGUGCUGGGACUCUAAAACCCAAUUGCUUGGGAAAGUUUUCUGAUGUUGUGUGUGUGUGUGUGUGUGUGUGUGUGUGUGUGUGUGUGAUGGUUAGGGGGGCUUAGAUGAACACUUAAAAUGUGCUAUAGUGAAGUCAAAUCACCAACUCUCAAAAACAGGAGGACUCAAGGGUUAAGGCUGGGUCUCCUCAUACUCUAAGCUUUGUGGCUUCUCAGGUAUGCAACCUUGACCAAGUUAUUUAUAUAAUGUCUCAGAUUCAGCAGGCACGAUGGCACACACCUUCUAUCCAGCACUUGGGAGCAGAGGCAGGUGGGGCCUCUGAUUUCAAGGCCAGCCUACUCUAUGUAGGAGGUCCAGAGCAACCAGGGCCACAUAAUGAAAUCCUGCGCUCUCCUGUUUUUAUUUCUGACUCCAUGGUCACACCCCCUCAGAGUAGAUCGCAUAAUUUUUUACAUCUUAUUGCCUGUCAUCCUCCAUUUGGGUUUGAGAGGUCUGGCAGGCAGCCUGCACAUAUGCACAUACGCAGUGUGAACAAAGGAAUUUCACUUCCCAAGUGCUGGAACAAGCAGAGAAGCCAGGCCAUUUUCAGUAGUAAACAACCAGUUGUUAGCAGUGUUAGGCGAUGAACCAAGGCAGCCCUGGUUCAAAGCCCUUUGUACCAACAUCAAUAUAUAGGCUAAUGAACCCUUCAAUACAAACUUGCAUCUUCACUUUGAAGCCUGUCUUCUGCUUGGUAAGGUUAUUUCUGCCCUAAUAGCCUGUUCUACUUACUGCAGCGCUCAUCUAGUUAAUCUCUAAUGUGUGUGGCAAAUGCCAAGAGCAAGACCCUAACACACAGUGUUCCUCCAUGGCUGCCAUAGAAGAAAAGAAAAAAGAAAAGAAAAGAAAAGAAAAGAAAAGAAAAGAAAAGAAAAGAAAAGAAAGAGCCGGGCGUGGUGGCGCACGCCUUUAAUCCCAGCACUUGGGAGGCAGAGGCAGGCAAAUUUCUGAGUUCGAGGCCAGCCUGGUCUACAAAGUGAGUUCCAGGACAGCCAGGGCUAUACAGAGAAACCCUGUCUCGAAAGAAAAGAAAACAAGAAAAAAAGAAACGAAAAAGAAAAAGAGGAGAAGAAAAAAUUACUAUAUUGUAGACUUUGAAAGAUAGAAAGGUCUUAAAUCCCCCUCCCGCUCCCCACCAUGCUGCCCCCAAGAUCUGUCUCAGAUUUCUUUCUGUUCAGAUGUCCUCUUUUCUUUCCUGUCCUGGACUUAGAUGGUACCAGAGGUCCUGGUUGAGGUCACACUCAAUUAGAAGGCAGCCAAAGGCCAAGAAAGAGGCCACCCACUGUCCAGCUAUCCUCAUGCCUUUUUGGGGAAUUCUCUAAGAACUCUACCAGGACUAAUAGUUCCUUCCUGAGGUUUUACUAAGAGUCUCCAGUUGGCAGGAGGUAGUCAUUAGUGUCUCUACCUGAGAGCAGCUCAUUGUUCUCUUUACCAAAGAAGUCUCCAAGAGGACAAAUAGCUUUCCCCAAACUUGUCAACAGGCAAAAGACAUCACCAUCUCCACCACCAAAACGUGGAGCCUCCCAUUCUCCAGCCGGCACACAAAUCUCCCCAGUCACUAAGAGGCAAAGCCUUCAUGCCGUGGAAGCUGGGAAAGGGUCAUCCCCCUCUUUCUUCCAACCACAUUCAAAACAAUUGCAUUUGCUUUUACCAUGGCCUCGAAUGUCUCAGGCCUUUUCAAGUCCUCUGCCUACUGGAAGAGGGGCAUCACUCCAAUGCAGGGAACCCAUCUUCUUAGAGGGACUUUCUAAGCCUAUAUAUCCCCCACUGGCUUGCUCACUAAACUCUGAUAAGUAGUGAAGGUUCUUGCCUGCCUCAAAAGUGAGGACCGACAGCAGUUCAGGUCAAAAGACUCAGGCCUAUUAACUGGCAAGGGAUUUGGAUUCCAAGAAGGCAGAAAAGUAAAGACAGAAAAGGGCAAGGAACACUAAAAGUUCAAAAGCACAAUAAACAUGAAAAGAAAAGCUAGAUGCAGCACAGGUGGAGGGAGGGGCCACGGCCUCGAGGUGGGAACUCCGUGGGCCCUGCUGAGAUGCUUGCAGGAAGGGUCUAGGAACCUUGGGGAGGCUUAAGGGUGUCCCGUCCGUGUUCUCAGCCUUGUUCUCAGCUGGUAGUUUGACAUUCAUCAAAGAUGGAUGAAACUUCUGCUUCAAACUAGGAGCCAGUGUUUGGUUACAUCUGCACCACUGAGGGAUGGAUGGCUUUGUGUUAUAGUGGCAUUGAACUUUCUGAAUUUCGUUCACAAUUUGUUGGCACUUUUUGAUUCCUUUAUUUAAAGGAUGACGCACGAGCAACUUUAUCCUCAUGAAACUUUUGGUGAAUUAUAAUUUUUGAGAAAACAGUUUACAAAUAGAAAGAUCUUAAAUGUCGCUUUAAAGGAGAAUCAGAACAAAAUAGACAAUGAUAUCUCACAUUUUAAAAUUUGAUUUUUGGAUUACUCUAUUUUCACCUUGGAAUGUAUUGAAUUGCACAAAGAUGUUUGAUGGUGUACUUACUUUAAUUAAAAUUUUAUGUUCCGUAUCAAAAGAAAGUCUUUGAAUUUGCAGUCUUGACAUUUGGUGAAACCUUGAAAACAAUCACAGAAAGAGACAAUGCAGUUGUUGAUUUUUUUUUUUUCUGAUUAAAAUAGAGGCCAAUAAUGGUUCCUUAAAAAAAAAUUUUUUUUUUUGGUUGAAAUGCACUUAUGCAUUUGAGGAUAAGAGCAGCAGAAGAUGCAGGAAGCCUUCGUGCAUCUAAGAAGGGCAUGUGUGCAAAGUGUUGGGAGAGGAGAGGUAAUGUAUGCCCUACCCGUGACAUCAAAGCAUGGUUCCUCUCAAGGCGGUGACUGGAAACUCUGGAGGGCCAUGCCAUACUGGAGGCUCAGUGCUGACUUCUGUUUCUGGAGACUGGUUAAUCACGAACAGCAAUAAUGAACUAAGAUGUUAAAGAGGAGGCCACACGUGCAGCAUGUCAGCUCUGAAGAGCCAGGCCUGAGCAGCUGAUUGACAGGCACUGAGUGUGCCACUCUCCCUUACCCGACUACCAGAAAUCUCCUCCAUCACUGAUGUCAGAUGUGUCUGUGGGAUGCAGACAUGUUCUUGCUCUGUGCUCAUUCUGAAAGGACCACCCACACACCUCCACCCUGCACUUCUUUGUCAUCUAUUCUUUGAGCAGGCAGACAAAUGAGUCAUUAUGGAUUCGUUCCCCAGGCCAUUUCUCCUUCUUCAUGAAGUGUGUGACCGGAUGUACCACUCAAUAUUCUACCCACAAGGCUGAUGAAGAAAACCACCACUUGACACGAGUGAUCACUAGGAGAGAGGGAGAAAAGAAUGUGACAGGUUGUAGAAUCUGAAGCUUCUGCUAGAGAAUGACAUCACCUCUGCUGGAGAAUGACAUCACCUCUGCUGGAGAAUGACUUCACCUCUGCUGGAGAAUGAUAUCACCUCUGCUGGAGAAUGACAUCACCUCUGCUGGAGAAUGACAUCACCUCUGCUGGAGAAUGACAUCACCUCUGCUGACAUUUCCUUGGUUGCCAAACAUCUUUUAUAAAAGAUGCUCUUCCAAGAGACCGAAGUCCACUGAAGUACUGAUAGACCCCCGAUGAGCAGAGGGGAUGGAUAAAAAGAAAGCAUUGUGUAGAAGCACAGUGGAAUACUGUUCACCUACAAAUGAGGGGAAUUCCGUCAUCUGCAAUAACAUGAGUGAACUUGGAGAACACCCUGCUAAGUGUGCUCAGGGAGUGGCACUAUUAGGAGGUGUGGCCUCGGUGGAGUAGGUGUGGCCUUGUUGGAGUAGUGUGUCAUUGUGGGCAUGGGCAUGGCCUUGUCCUAGAUGCCCAGAAGCCAGUCUUCUCCUGUCUGUCUUCAGAUGAAGAUGUAGAACUCUCAGCUUUGCCUGCACUAUGCCUGCCUGGACACUGCCAUGUUCCUGCCUUGAUACUGGACUGAACCUCUGAAUCUGUUAGCCAGCCUCAAUUAAAUGCUGUCCUUAUAAGAGCUGCCUUGGUCAUGGCGUCUGUUUAUCCUGUAAAGCCCUGACUAAGACACACUUAUAUGUAGAAACUAAAGCAAUCGAAUUCCCAGAUUGAGAGAGUAGAAUGGUGGAUGCCAGAUGCCAGGGCGUAUGGAGAUACAGAAAGGUAACUCAGGGCACCUUGGUGGUGGCCAAGAAACCUAAGAGCAGAGAAAGACUGACCUGUAAGGUAAGGAGUUACUUCCAAAACAACGCCCCGACUCCUGACAAAGGCGCGUGCGCUCGAGAUGUUGUUUAGGCAACCAUAUGUUUAUAUAUGAUAGUUACUUUAGGGGUAAGUUCAUCCUGGAGCACACCCAGUUUAAAGUUCAAGAGGGACAGAUGCUGGAUACAAACCAGCCCAGGAAAUCUGGCAUUCUCUUUUGGCCUCCACUGGAAUUGCAUGUAUAUAAUAUACAGACAUACAUACAUGCAGGUAAACUCCCAUAUAUAUACCAAAACAUAUAUACACAUAAAAUAAAAGACUGAGUUUUGAGAUCUAUUGUCCAACGUGGUGAUUAUAGUUAAUAAUGAUGAACUGCUUCCCCUUUAAAACUGUGAAGAAUUAAAAUUUCAAAUGUUGUCUCAAACAACACAUACACGAGGAGAUGGAUUUGCUAACUAGUGUGAUUAAAUAAUUUUAUAUUGGACACUCCAAUUCUAACAUGACCCUGUUCUUCUUGAGUCUGCAUAAUUAGAAUUGGUUAAAUCUCAACGGCAAAACAAAUAAAAGCACAUGACCUUAUUUGUAAAACAACAACAACAACACCUUGGCAGAUGCAUUUAAUGAAGAUGAGGCUGAGUGUGAUUAAAGGGGCUGUUGAUCCAAUGACGGGGGCCCUAGUAGGAGGAGGACACGGAGCGGAGCGGAGCCACAGGCGCAUGCCCAGCGCCAGCCACUGUCGGGAUUGAGGAGAGGUGAGGAGGGUCCUUACUGGAGCUGCCAUGGAGUGUGCCCCUCUGACCUCGUCACUCUGACACCUGUCCGGUGGAACUGUCCUCUUAGGCUGCUCAGACUGUGGCACAUGGUUAAAGGAGCCACAGGAAGUGGACUCACAUGCGGCUUCCUGUGCUGGGCACAAAUGGUAAAUGGGGUGGUAGCCCUCAUAUGUACAGUGCUUCCUAAUCCCAGCUCCCAGGGCAUCCAGCUUUUACCGCGACUUGAACGUGAACCCAGUUAUUCUUGGAUUUUUGCCUGCUCUUCCCACAGCUACCUUGUUCAGCUCAGACAUUUGUUUGUUUGUUUUGGUUUUGGUUUUUUUUUUACAGGUGGGAAAGGCGGGGCAGGGCUCUUAAGGAAACUGUUCAGCCUUGCUCUAUGGCAUCCCUUGAUGACGGGAACUGAAAGGCCUAGGAUAUCAUGAUAAACAGCUGUGUCCUAUG